rnacentral:rRNA from 1 species
AGGACGAACGCUGGCGGCGUGCUUAACACAUGCAAGUCAAGGGGGCCGCAAGGUCAACCGGCGAACGGGUGCGUAACACGUGAGCAACCUGCCUAAGUGUGGGGGAUAGCCGGCCCAACGGCCGGGUAAUACCGCAUACGAUCACUAGCCGGCAUCGGCAUGUGAUGAAACUUUCGAGGCACUUAGAGGGCUCGCGGCCUAUCAGCUUGUUGGUGGGGUAAUGGCCUACCAAGGCAACGACGGGUAGCUGGUCUGAGAGGAUGGCCAGCCACAUUGGGACUGAGAUACGGCCCAGACUCCUACGGGAGCAGCAGUGGGAAUAUUGCGCAAGUGGGCGAAAGCCUGACGCGAGCGACGCCGCGGUGGGGAGUGAAGCAGUUUCGGUGUCGUAAACCCCGUGUUGCGUACGGACGAAAACGUAGUUUAGACUAGUCUGACGGUACGGUGAGGAAGCGACCGGCUAACGUCCGCGCCAGCAGCCG